GCAUCCAUAAUUUCUUCUAAUCUGUCCUCCACCUCCAUUUCUCAUUCUUCUGCCUCCUGUAUUCUGCUGUUAGCUGCUUCUAGUGAGUUUUUUAUUUCAGUUAUUGUAUUUUGCAUCUCUUCUUGUUUAAGUUUUAUAUAUUAUAUCUCUUUGGUUAGUGUUUCCUGUAAGUUAUCCAUCUUUGCCUCCAGUUUAUUUCCAAUGUCUUGCAUCAUCUUCAGCAUCAACAGUCUAAAGUCUUUUUCCUGGAGGCUGAGAAUCUCCUCAUUGCUUAGCUGAUUUUCUGGGGUUUUUCCUUUCUCCCUCAUCUGAGUUAUAGUUCUCUGUCUUUUCAUUUUUAUAGGUUUUUGGUGUGGUGACCUUUUUAUAGAUAAUAGAGCUGUAGCCUCUCUUACUUCUGGUGUCUGCCCCCCUUGUGGCUGAAGUUGGUAUGGGGGGCUUGCUGUAGGCUUCCUGAUGGGAGGGUAUGUUAGACUUGAGUGGGGAGCCACAAGGUGGGGAGCAUUUAGGAUAGCACAGGAGUCCUGGAUCCCUGAGAGAAUGGUACAGAAAAGGGAAGUUGGCACUGGCAAAAAUAUAAAUUUUCUUGUUUCAAAAUAUUUUGCAGUGGGUCUGCUCUGCCUCAGAAAAGCAGAAAAUCUCUACUUCCCUCUUAUCUCUAUACACAUGCUAUAUGCUUUCUUCCAAGCCUCCCCAAAUCAGGCUGGAGUUAUUAUAAAUGUCAUUAUGAUUUAAUGAAACUUUGUUGCCUAUCCAGAGAAACCAAUCAUCACAUAUGACCCUUUUAAUAGGAAUAUGUCAUGAAUUACAAAGAUUUAAAAGAAAUUUUUGGAAUACUACCCAUUCAUAAGUUGAGUCUUGGCUAAUUAUUUAAUUUUUCAUAAUUUUGUUCUGAACUAUGGGUAUCUUGAAUAGUGACGAGGAAGGAGUUUUACAGAGAGUGGGUACCAAAAUAAUAUUUGAUUUGAAAUUUAGAAUAUAUAAUUACCAUUUAUAUAGCCCUAAAUCUUACUAUGUAGCAGCUUUUUUAUUGCCACUGUUUCCCACAAUAUGAAAUAGAAAGCAGCCAUAUACAUUAAUGUAUAAUUAAAAGAGGGAUUAUAUACCUGCAUUAAUGCUACAUAAAUCACACGUGCAAUGUUUUAUAUAAUCAUCUUAUGCAAUAUGCAAGUAAUCAUCUUAUACAAUAUGCAUGUACUUUAUACAAUAUAGGAUAAUGCAAUAUAUCAAUCAAUUAAAUCAAUUAGGGACAAACAGUAUCAUGAAAUGUUAUGUGGCAGUACACUUGGUUUUUACCACCUUAGUACAAGAGAGAUUAGAAGAAUAUGAACAUUGGGUCCAUUAUUCAAAACAAUAUUUUGAAAAGAGUAUAUGAUGUAAUUUUCAAAACCUUUAAAACAUAUCUUAUAGAUUUUUUUCCAGAAUAUUCCAUAACUUGAAUUCUAAAGGAACCCAUAACCAAAUGCUAGAUUCUGAACAGCAAAUAUGGCUUGUGGUUUCCAAAGUGGAUCAGAUGAGAGAAUGAACCAGAACAAGGCCAUUCCCUCAUUUGCCCUGCAAAGACCAAUUCAAAUCAAUCUCAUCUCCAACAAGUGGAAAAAUCAUUCUAUUCUAAAACAGCAAUACAAAAUUAUUAGCUAAAAAGACUUCCUCUUUGUGCCCCUUGUGGAAUUCUGAUUUUUUAAUCUCUACCCACAAGCCUACUUCUAUCACAUCUCCCAGAGGAGGCAGAUAAGUAAAGAGCCCUCCAUUAACUGACCUGGGCUUUCCCUGUGUGGGAAGAAGCUGGGUGUGACUCAGUAGGAAGAAAACCUGUAUUCCUGCCUCACCUGGCCAAGCCAUCCUAUCCUCCUCUGGGAAUGCUCUGGCAACCCCUUUCCUCUUGGACUGCGUCCAGCUAACACCCCCCUAUUGGAAACAAUUGCUGCUUUACGCUGAUCACACCCCUUAGCAUUCCCAACUAAGGUUCUGUUCUGAGUGUUAAGAGUCCCCAAGUGGAUAUUUUAACAUGGAAUCUGCUUUUUUUACCUUAGUCUUUUGAAACAUCCAUAAACACCUAAUAACUUUUCUUACCAGAAAUACUGCAGCAAUUGUAAAAAACUCAAAUGCAAUUCCUUCAACAGCUAAGGCCAUUCCAAAAGUUCACCAGGCCAACCAAAAUCACAAAACAAAACAAAAAACCCCAGGGCAUUUAGGUAGUAAAUACCAUAUUUCUCAAAAACACUCCCAGGAAAGCCUCGAUAACUUUUAGUGAAAGCAAAAGUGUUCC
rnacentral:lncRNA from 1 species